AUUGAACGCUGGCGGCAUGCUUUACACAUGCAAGUCGAACGGCAGCACGGACUUCGGUCCGGUGGCGAGUGGCGAACGGGUGAGUAAUACAUCGGAACGUACCCAGUAAUGGGGGAUAACUAUCCGAAAGGAUAGCUAAUACCGCAUACGCCCUACGGGGGAAAGAGGGGGAUCGCAAGACCUCUUGUUAUUGGAGCGGCCGAUGGCUGAUUAGCUAGUUGGUGAGGUAAAGGCUCACCAAGGCGACGAUCAGUAGCGGGUCUUAGAGGACGAUCCGCCACACUGGAACUGAGACACGGUCCAGACUCCUACGGGAGGCAGCAGUGGGGAAUCUUGGACAAUGGGCGCAAGCCUGAUCCAGCAAUGCCGCGUGCGUGAAGAAGGCCUUCGGGUUGUAAAGCGCUUUUGGCAGGGAGCAAAUCCUUGUGGCUAAUACCCACCGGGGAUGAGAGUACCUGAAGAAUAAGGACCGGCUAACUACGUGCCAGCCGCCGCGGUAAAAC
rnacentral:rRNA from 1 species